rnacentral:rRNA from 1 species
UACGUAGGGGGGCAAGCGUUGUCCGGAUUUAUUGGGCGUAAAGAGCUUGUAGGCGGUUUGUCGCGUCUGCUGUGAAAAUCCGGGGCUCAACCCCGGACUUGCAGUGGGUACGGGCAGACUAGAGUGUGGUAGGGGAGACUGGAAUUCCUGGUGUAGCGGUGAAAUGCGCAGAUAUCAGGAGGAACACCGAUGGCGAAGGCAGGUCUCUGGGCCACUACUGACGCUGAGAAGCGAAAGCAUGGGGAGCGAACAGG